rnacentral:rRNA from 1 species
GACGAACGCUGGCGGCGCGCCUAACACAUGCAAGUCGAACGAGAGAUGAGGAGCUUGCUCUUCAAAUCGAGUGGCGAACGGGUGAGUAACGCGUGAGGAACCUGCCUCAAAGAGGGGGACAACAGUUGGAAACGACUGCUAAUACCGCAUAAGCCCACGGCUCGGCAUCGAGCAGAGGGAAAAGGAGCAAUCCGCUUUGAGAUGGCCUCGCGUCCGAUUAGCUAGUUGGUGAGGUAACGGCCCACCAAGGCGACGAUCGGUAGCCGGACUGAGAGGUUGAACGGCCACAUUGGGACUGAGACACGGCCCAGACUCCUACGGGAGGCAGCAGUGGGGAAUAUUGCACAAUGGGGGAAACCCUGAUGCAGCGACGCCGCGUGGAGGAAGAAGGUCUUCGGAUUGGUAAAACUCCUGUUGUUGAGGAAGAUAAUGACGGUACUCAACAAGGAAGUGACGGCUAACUACGUG